AUCGAGGGAGAACGCUCCGAACGACAACGCAGCCCAGUCGCCCCACCCACAACACGCGACCCACUCCCCCGACAACCAUAUCCACUCCUCCCACUCUCAGUCACAUCUCGAAUCCUCGAGAGUUUCGACCGGCGCCCCUCGCCGCCGGGCAUGGAGGCCACCCCCCGCAAGCUCGUUUUCUUAUCCGGUGACGCACGGGCGGUGGAGGUGUCGCCACGCGCGCCGCGGCCUCGCUCGGAGGUGGAGGAGCGAGUAGAGAGGGCGCGCUCGGUGGGCGGCAUGGCGAGGCAGAAGGUGGAGAGGGAGUGGGCGGCCAUGCCUCGGCGGAGCAGAGUGGGAUGAGGCGGAGCAGGAAGCCUCGAUGGUGUGCGACGUCGGGAGGGAGGCGAGAUAGGCGGAGAGCACGGGGGAGACGAGGUCGUGGCGGUUCACGGCAUCGUGGGUCACCGGCAGCACACGGUGGCAGGAGGUGAAGAAGAUGAGGUCAUGGCAGCCAGGGCGGCGAGAGUUGCGGAGCCGAGGAAGGGAGGUUGCGGAAGGCCCGCGAGGAAGACGGAGGCGACCUCGCGGAGGGGAAGGGGAGCAGCGGGCGGACGAACGCGGAGGCGGAGCUCAACAUGCCGCCUGGCUUCCGCUUCCACCUCACGAACGACGAGCUCGUCGUGCACUACCUCUGCAGGGAGGUGGCGGCCCAGCCGCAGCCGUGCCCCUCAUCGCCGAGCUCGCUCUGUACAAGUUCAACCCCUGGGUCUGCCUGGUGCGUCUUCUUCCUCUUCCCUGCUGCUCGCUACCAUGUUUUCCUCCUCCUGCUUCGUCACUCAUUGGUUUCGUCUGAUUCAACAAUGUAUGAUGGCCGUUGGGUACGUGCAGAACAUGCAGCGCAGGGAGUGGCACUUUUCCUGUUUGAACUAGCUUGUUUUUUUUGUACAAGUUCAACUAUGAAAAUGCAUGUAAAUUUGAACCUUUUGUUUUGCCCCUCCUGAGUGUGAAUUGUGUGAGGACUAGCCUUUAUGUUCUGUUUAUAGGUGUGGCAAAAAUGCUGAACUGAUGGAACCUGCUACUGAAACUGAUCUGAAGCAAAAAUGCUAAACUGAUAUGAAACAAAAGAAGUCAAUUUCCUUUAGCAUGGGACAUGCUACUGAAAUUUGCCAUAUACCCAUUUUGACAGUAGCAUGGCAAUUUCUAUAAGUAUGUAUAUCAUGGCAAUUUCAGCUCUUUGCGUAUCGAAGAUGCUCUUUUAUGCCAUGGCAACAAGUUCUUUUUUUUUUUUGCCAUGGCAACAAAUAGAGUUCUUCUUUAUUGCAUAGUUUUUGAAGUAUGGCAACUAAAAAUCUAAGUUUUGCACGGCAACUAUACAUGUUUUGCCAUGGCAAGUGAAGGUAUUUUUUGCCCACGGCAACUACACAUGUUUUGCCAUGGCAAGCGAAGUUAUUUUUUGCCCACGACAACAACUAAAUUUUUUAUACAGCAGAUUUUUUAAGUUUUGCCAUAGCAAAGAUGCAAUGUUUGUUUGCCUUGGCAAAUUUUGCAAAGUUCAUGGCAAUUUUCAUCUCUGUCCUUGUUCACAAACAACGCCAUUUUUUGCUCUAUAUGACAACAUUUAUGUGAUUUGGCAUGGCACUUUUUAUCUAAAAACAUGGCAAACUUGUCAUGGCAACUUUAACAUGUUCAAAAACAUGGCAACUUAACAUGUUUCAAAAACAUGGCGAACUUGCCAUGGAAAACUUAAGAUGUUUUUGGCAUAUGUAUUAACGAGGCACGGGAAUUGUAGUCACGGGCAUGGCAACAAUACUUUUAUUCACAGCCAAAAGUGGGAUUUUUCUACGAUUUUCUUGCCAUGGCAACUUUACUUUUAAUGAUAUGGGAAAUUUUUACUUUAAUUUUUUACAUGGAAAUUUUAUUGUAUAAAGCAUGGCAAUUUAAUUUUAAAUAUGAUGGCAAAUUUGCAUUUUCAGAACAUGACAAAUUUUAAUAUGUAGCCAUGGCAAUUUUUAAUUUAUUUCCAUGGCAAAAAUAGAAAUGCUCCAUUUUUGCCAUGGCAAUUUUUAAUCAUUUUUGCCAUGGCUUAUUUUUAAUGACAUGGUAAAUAUUACUUUUUUUCAUGGCAAAUUUAUUUUAAAGAGCAUGGCAAUUUUUAUUUAAAUAUGAUGGCAAAUUACAUUUUCCGGAACAUAGAAAAUUUUACUACGUGGCAUGGUUAAUAUACUUGUGUUCUCAUGGCAAUUUUUAAUUUAUUUUCCAUGGCAACAUUUAAUCCUUUUUUGCCAUGGCAAAAUUUACUCCAUUUUUUCCAUGUCAAAAAUACUUCUAUUCACAUGGCAAAUUUUUGUUUAAUUUGCCAUGGCAAGUUUUUCUGCUUUUUACAUUUGUGUAUUGAACGAUGGCAAAGCUAAUAAUUUUUGAUCCAUCGACAUGUCAUUGCUCAAAACUAUUUUAUACAUACCCAAUAGUAAUUUCUGUACAAAUAUUUUUUGUUCUAUCCUAUAUGUCCAUUUUUUGUGCUUUUUUGUUUUUUCAUUAUAUCAUGGCAAACUUUUCAAACUCAAUUUUAAUGAAGUGUGUAUGAACAUCAUGGCAAAUCAUGUAAAUUUCUGCAAUAUACCCUUUUUUUAUGAUUAUAUAGUAGUUUUUUUCAUUAGAGCAUGGCAACUUUUUGUUCCUAGAUUUUUUCCAGUGAGUGUUUUUCUUUGGUCUAGUGAAUUUUUUAGGCUUUUUUAUGUUUUCUCUAUUUGUUGGGACAGAAGCAGUUUUGGGCCUAGAAUAUUGUAUUUUUUUUGUUUUUUAAUUCUUGAAGGCAAUGAUGUUGGGCUGGUACCAUUGUCCUGGCCCGCUGGAGGGAGGGACGGCUGGAGGGAGGGAGCAGGUCGUUCAGGAGGAAGGGAGAUCGGACCGAACGGAAUCGUUCGGGAGCUCCCGUCUCCUGACCGAACAAUACGUUCGAUCUGGCUCCUCCUCUCACCGAACGUCCGCGCGAUAUCGGGGUCCAAGAUAACCUGUGUUCUGAAUCCUGGAAUUCUGACUGAAGUGCAUGUAGUGGCAGUUUUUCUGAACGAUGACUUUGCUGAUGCGUGUGUUGCAUUGUUAUUCGACAGCCAGCAAUGCAAUCUAGUUGCGUUGUUCAAACUGAA